UACGUAGGGUGCGAGCGUUGUCCGGAAUUAUUGGGCGUAAAGAGUUCGUAGGCGGCUUGUCGCGUCGGAUGUGAAAGCCCGGGGCUUAACUCCGGGUCUGCAUUCGAUACGGGCAGGCUAGAGUUCGGUAGGGGAGAUCGGAAUUCCUGGUGUAGCGGUGAAAUGCGCAGAUAUCAGGAGGAACACCCGUGGCGAAGGCGGCUCUCUGGGACGGUACUGACGCUGAGACGCGAAAGCGUGGGGAGCGAACAGG
rnacentral:rRNA from 1 species